CCUACGGGUGGCAGCAGUGAGGAAUAUUGGUCAAUGGACGAGAGUCUGAACCAGCCAAGUAGCGUGAAGGAUGACUGCCCUAUGGGUUGUAAACUUCUUUUAUAUGGUGAUAAAAUGUUCCACGUGUGGGAUUUUGUAUGUAACAUAUGACUAAGGAUCGGCUAACUCCGUGCCAGCAGCCGCGGUAAUACGGUGAAUCCGAGCGUUAUCCGGAUUUAUUGGGUUUAAAGGGAGCGUAGGUGGAUUGUUAAGUCAGGUGUGAAAGUUUGCGGCUCAACCGUAAAAUUGCAGUUGAAACUGGCAGUCUUGAGUACAGGAGAGGUGGGCGGAAUGCGUGGUGUAGCGGUGAAAUGCUUAGAUAUCACGAAGAACUCCGAUUGCGAAGGCAGUUCACUGGACUGCAACUGACACUGAGGCUCGAAAGUGUGGGUAUCAAACAGGAUUAGAUACCCGAGUAGUC
rnacentral:rRNA from 1 species